GUGGGGAAUCUUGCGCAAUGGGCGAAAGCCUGACGCAGCCAUGCCGCGUGAAUGAUGAAGGUCUUAGGAUUGUAAAAUUCUUUCACCGGGGACGAUAAUGACGGUACCCGGAGAAGAAGCCCCGGCUAACUUCGUGCCAGCAGCCGCGGUAAUACGAAGGGGGCUAGCGUUGCUCGGAAUUACUGGGCGUAAAGGGCGCGUAGGCGGACAGUUUAGUCAGAGGUGAAAGCCCAGGGCUCAACCUUGGAAUUGCCUUUGAUACUGGCUGUCUUGAGUACGGGAGAGGUGAGUGGAACUCCGAGUGUAGAGGUGAAAUUCGUAGAUAUCCGGAGGAACACCAGUGGCGAAGGCGGCUUCCUGGACAGUAACUGACGCUGAGACGCGAAAGCGUGGGGAGCAAACAGGAUUAGAUACCCGUGUAGUCC
rnacentral:rRNA from 1 species